GACGAACGCUGGCGGCGUGCUUAACACAUGCAAGUCGAACGGAAAGGCCCUGCUUUUGUGGGGUGCUCGAGUGGCGAACGGGUGAGUAACACAUGAGUAACCUGCCCUUGACUUUGGGAUAACUUCAGGAAACUGGGGCUAAUACCGGAUAGGAGCUCCUGCUGCAUGGUGGGGGUUGGAAAGUUUCGGCGGUUGGGGAUGGACUCGCGGCUUAUCAGCUUGUUGGUGGGGUAGUGGCUUACCCAGGCUUUGACGGGUAGCCGGCCUGAGAGGGUGACCGGCCACAUUGGGACUGAGAUACGGCCCAGACUCCUACGGGAGGCAGCAGUGGGGAAUAUUGCACAAUGGGCGGAAGCCUGAUGCAGCAACGCCGCGUGCGGGAUGACGGCCUUCGGGUUGUAAACCGCUUUCGCCUGUGACGAAGCGUGAGUGACGGUAAUGGGUAAAGAAGCACCGGCUAACUACGUG
rnacentral:rRNA from 1 species